rnacentral:lncRNA from 1 species
AGCCUACAACCCCUUCUCUCUUUCCCUUAUACACAAACAACGUAACAACAACAUACACGCCCAGACAACUGACCAAGAACUAACGACGUUCAAACCACUGCGUACAAAAAUAAUUCCCAUGCGUACAACCUCCAUCCCAGCAGUUUCAACCCCUAAACGAUGUUCAACGGUAAAAUCAAUUUAACAGCAAAAUCCUAAAUCAUCCAUUUUUACCAUUUUAUCCAUUUAGUACAUCCAUCCACGGCCAAAAACCAAAAAACUUUCAUCUUUCUUUUGUUUGGACUCACUAUUUAGGGCAAAGAAGUACCCCCUACAUCUCUUCUGUACCACUCUCAUUGUAAAAAAUUCAGUUGAAGUACAAGACCAUUCAUGGUUUUUCGUCCUGCUGUGGACCUGAAUUUUCCAAGUUAUUCAAUUCAAAAUUGAAAUCCAAAACCCUAGCUAUUUCCCCCCAAUUUCCCCUAAAAAUAUAUGCUAAGAAGAAGGGGGUGAAGAGGGGAUUCUUUGGGGAAAACUUGGGGAUUCGGGAGGAGCGUUCCCCUAAUCCCUCAUAACAAAAGAAUUCAAGAAGAAGUUCCAUCGAGAAUCAAUCCCGACAAAAGGUUGAAAUCUCGGCAAAUUGGAAUUAAAACUCGAUCGAAACAACAUACAUUUCGGUUGAAUUCCGUUGCCUAAAGUUCGUUUGUCUUGGUUCCUGCGUGGAAACAGGUGAAGGCUUCACUUUUUGCAUCCUUUAUUUGUGUUUAUUUGUUAUAACAAAAUUUGAGUUCCACAAUCGUGAGGCUUGUUGAUUCGUUGAUGUUGGAAGUUAUUUGGUUGAUUUAGUGUGGCGUUGCUGUUGAAAAUUUGAAUUCGAUUUCACGGACAUUGAUUGUGUUUUCUUUUUGCUUUCGGUGUGAUUUGAAUACAUAAAGAAUUUCAUUAUUUUUUGUUCUUAUUUCUGAGGUAGAAACUAACCCCUAUAAAAAAUCUAUUAUUUUGAUUUGUUGAACAUACAAUACAUGAAUGUUUUGUGAAACUUGUGUGUAAAAGUCUCGACCGUUUUCUUCUUGGCCUCCCGAAACAUGUAGCUGAGCGGUUUUCAAUUGUUAUUGUUUGGUUUAGUAUUUGAAUUAUUGUUGUAGUUUUACGCAUGUGUAGAGUUUAGUAUUAUGGGAUAAAUUAGUAGUUUGGAUGAUUGGUGUUGUGAUUUGCAUAAUCUGUAAAAAGGAGCUUAAGGCCAAGAUUAGUUUCCUUGGGGCUGUAGGUCACUAUGCCUAAAAAUUUUAUUUUUUCUUAGUAUGCCUUUCUUUAAAUAGUUUACUCAGGCAAGUUAUCAUAUGAGGAGAGUAAAGCUUUGUCAUUUUCUUUCUUUCUUUUUCAUUUUGAACUAUUGCUCGUCUCUUCUCUUUUGUUUCCUUAUGGCCUUUAAUUGUGAAAUCAAGACCAAUGUCUAGGUCUGGAUUAAGGAUCAAUACAACAGCCUUUGCGAAUCUUGAAUGCUAAGUAUGAUUUGACUAUGAAAAUGUGCUUGAAGUUGGUCAAGUAAUGCAUAAAUUUAUUUUCUCUCUUAAUUGCUUUUGCCGUUACAUUCUACUUAAAUAGAUCCAUCAUUGAAAGGUGCUACAACUUUGUUCAAAUUUGUAACUCGUUCUUUUCAAUAUCUUGCUUUAUCUGAUGAGUUCUUCUCAGGACCUAAAUACUAAUGUUUCAUCUUUGUUUUUGCAUGUGACACCCCAAUGUGUCCAAACGGACUUUCCUCUUGCAUAUCAUUGAGUUAAACUGCAUGCCAAAGUAAAGUUACCAAAGGACAAGAAAUAAGGCUGAACCGAGGAGGUGAAGUUGGGAUAUCGGUGCAGGACCAAAACACAUGCAUAUAUGACUAAUAUAUGGUCAUAUAUACAUUAGAUAUACAAAAAACGCAUGAAAAGUGGUUCUGAUAUACAGCUAGAAUACAUGCAGGGACAUGGACUCAAAGUCCACAAAAUUAGUAGCCCAAAGUUUGGGCAGCAUGUGGAUGGGCUAAAAAAGGGCCUAACUCAAGCUCUUUAUCUUUUAUUCCCUUAUAAUUUGUAAUUUAUUCUUAUAUAUUUGUACUGAUCUUAACUUUUAAUUAAUUGACCUAGUGAUCCCCUUAUAGAUGUGGCCAUUCUAGUUUACCUUGAUUUUUAUAUUUUAAUUCACCAUUUUCUCACCUAAUUUAUCUCGUCUAAAUAGAUUAAAUUGGUUCUUUUGACCGUUCUCCCUCAUACUAGUCUUUUAAAAAAUUAAUAAUAAAAAAAUUGUAAUUUAGUCCCAAAGUGACAUUUAUUUGGUUCAUAUGACUAAUAGUCUACUCGGGUUAAAAAUAAUUUUCUUUAAAUUCAAGAGGUUAAUUUUUCUCAUAAAUUUUAACUUUUAAUAAUUGAUGAAAUAUUUUUUAACACGAUAUUUCGGAAUAUUUAUUUAUAACAAAACAACCAUUUCAUGACAAUAACAGUAAUAGGUCUAUUAAUCAUAUAAUUCUCUUUCCCAUUAAAAAUAAGCUUAUUCUUUUCUUAAAUCAAGUAUUCCACCUAGAUUAAAUAUGUUUUUCAUAAUUCCUAUGAAAAAAAUAUUUCAUAACUUUUAAGAAGUAACUAUGAAUUAAAUAGAAUAUUUCUCAAUUAGAGCAUUCCUUGAUUUUUUUUUCAAAUCCUAACUUUUUGGAAUUAAUUAUGAAUUAAAUAUAAGAAAAUAUUUAGAACAUUUUAUAAUUUUUCUCCAGAAUCAAUCAUGAAUGAAGCGGAGUAUUUCAUAAAUUUUUAAUUUUAUUUUUUUUCUCAAAAUUAAUACUAAUUUAAGUAGAAUAUGUCCUAACCUUUUUUUUUUUUUUCUAAUUCAAGUAGACUAUUUCAUGUUUGAAUAAACAAAUGUCAAAUUUUAAAUAUGUAAAUAAAUAAUUUUAUACAAGCAAUCCUUUGCAAAGUUAGUCACCAUUUUUUAAGUUAGUCAAAAAUGAUCUUUUGGUGAACCGUUCUAAGCAGACUCUUCUGAGUGCCUUAAAAAUUUUUUUAGGGCGUCAAUUGAACCGUUACUUUGUUUCUCUUAUUUCAAAGAUUUAUUCUUGUUUUUGAGUCUUUAAAAUAUCGUUGAGUUUUCUUAAUAUUUUCUAUAAAAAUCAAGUGGCGACUCUCUAAAUUUUUUCAAAAUUAUUUCGAAAAACUUCUUGAAUUUUGAAUUAGUUUUUUAGGGUCAAAACCAUUUUCUUUAAAACAAAAUCUGAAAAGGGAUAAAACACUUUUUAAGAAAGUUGUUAGAAAUAUGGGUUUCUCUAAUGGGUUAGUGGAUUUAUUUUAGAGAUUGAUAUCUAAUAAUUACUACUCUAUUCUAGCCAGUGUCCAAUCUAUUGAUUUUUUUCAUUUUACUAUGGGGUAAAACAAGGGGAUCCUCUUUCCCCUAGUCUAUUUAUCCUAUAUGUUGAAGUCCUGACUAGAGCUCUUAAUCAUCGAUUUGAAGAUGUUUCCUUUGUAGGUUAUGGUAUGCCUAAGUAGAGCUUAAACAUCAAUCACUUAGCAUAUGGUGAUGACACUAUCAUUUUUUCCUCAUCUGAUAAUUAUUCUAUUGGAAAGAUUAUGAUGAUUUGUAGGAGGAUGAUCAAGAAUCAGUCCAAGGGGUGAAUAAGGACAAGAGUCUCUUUUAUAUGCAUCAAAAUUCAUCUUCGAGGUUGUGCAGUAGAUGGAUUGAUUACAACAAUGGCCAAAGGAUAUUUUCCUCUAAAAUACUUGAGAUGUACCAUCUCCCACUCAAAAAAGAAAAAGAAACAUUAUAAAGUUUUGUUGGACAUAAUAAAGAGUAAAUUAAAAGCGUGGAAGGGUAGGCUAUUGUCUUAUGGAGGCAAGUAUUCUAGAAAGUGUUAUAAAGGGCCAAAACACAAUGGCAGACCCCCCAAUUUUGCAUGAACUUUCACUUUGGCACUUAAAGUGGGUAUUGUUCAUUUUAACAGCUAAAAAAGCUAUCAAUUAUGUCAUUUUGACACUUUUUUGCACCAGCUCUGACGUGUGGAUUUCACUCACAUCCAACAUGGAUUAAACGAUCAAUUGAUUUGUCACAACUCAUUUUAAAUCACACAUCAUUAUAUACACCCACAAUUAUCUUUAAAAAAGGACCAAAACACAUGGCAAGGUAUCUAAUGAAUUAAUGACAUGUGUUUUUUUACCAAAUAAUUAAAAAAAGCCCCCCCCCCCACCAUUUUCCCCCCCCAACCCCCUUAAUGGGGGUUAAAUUUUUCAAGAAUGAUAAACAUACUUUCUCAUUCUCUAAGGAUGGUAGAUCCGCAUUAAUAUCAUCACGAAUUUAAAAAAUAUGACUAAAAAAUAUGGAGAAGGAGGAGGACAAUGUUUAAUUAGAAAAGUAAUUAAUGAAAGAAAACAUAAAUACGAUUUGGAGUCACUUAAAGAAAAUAUAGAUACUUUACCGGACGGGUCUCAAAAGUGAACCUUUGCAGACCAAAUUGUGUUUUAAUAAUAUUCUUUAAGAGUUAUUAUCAUAUUGAUAUAAUACGAUGAUUAGGAACUCAAUUUUAUUAAUUUUUGUAAGAGUUUGAGCUUGAAAAAAUGGGGAAGAAGAAGAUAAGAUUAAAUAAAAAUAAGCUAAAAUAAGGUUGUCACACACAUUUUCAAAAUACUAGUGUAGAACACUCACUUUGCCAUGUCAGCGAAAGGUGCCAAAAUGACAUAGUUGGUUGAUGGUUUAGGUGUUUAAAAUGAACAACAUCCACUUUAGGUACCAAAGUGAAAGUUCGUGCCAAGUUGAAGGGUCUGGCCAUGUGUUUGGCCUUUAUAGAUCAUUCCUAUAUAUUUUCCAACAUGUGUCUCAAGCAGGAUCCCUAUAGACUCUCAAGCAAACAAUCGCAAGAAUUCAAAAUUAAGCCAAAAUCAAUAAAGAGUCACAUAAUUGAGCUUGGGUGUCUCAAGAAUAGUCACCCGCCUCAUUCCAACAUGUUUCUUUAACAACAACUUAUAUUAGGCAAUCGUAUGGCUCAGCACAAGUACUUUGCAUUAGAUUAGUAAUCGGGUUCUACUUCCUACUUAAUCCCUAUGAAUAAUUUCCCUUGGGACGGUCAUCAUCCGUUCAUUAUCGAGAAAAGUAACUAAAUUAUCAGUCAUUAUUGGUACUUAUCCUAAAAAACUCCUCCUAAAAACUGAAAAAACUUAAAUCUAAACAGUUCAAAGAGAUUAUCCUCAGGAAAAGAACCUAAAACAAAAGUUGAAGAACCAAACUGAACUAAAGAUUACUAGCUAUUACAUAAUUAUAAGUUUGAAUAUUUGAUUAUAACAAAUCGAAUUUAAAGUUACAAAAAUAUCUUUCCAACCAGAAUCAACAAAAUAUACAUAACAGACUAAGAGUAAUCUUUCACCCUAUACUUAUAAUAUAGCAUUGUCCCCAGUGCUUGGAAAAACAAAACAAGAACAAAAGUGAGGUGUUUAAAAAUCUCCCUGGUCAAUUAUCCAUGUUGUCAUUAAUAUUAGGGACCAAGCCCUCAUCACCCGAAUCUGGGUCAACCUCAUCAUCGUUAACAAACUCUAGGUCUUAAUCCUGUAGGCUUAUAUCCUUAUUAGUGGGAAUAUCAUCCUCUAUUGGCUCCACAAAAUUAAGACCAAUCCUCAGUAAAACUCUGUCAUGGUUACUCAAAGGGUAGUCGAGCUCCACUCGGUGUAUCUCCUCAAUAGUAGAUGCUUUAGCUUUCACUUGAAGCUGCAGUAUUUAUAGUCCACACAUGUGGGCCGUGAUAUCAUCAUCUAGAGCAUGGCACUCGACUAGAGUUAGUACAAGCUCUUGAUAUACAUUAAGAGCUCUAUAGGGGUCAUAUCAAUCAGAUGCAUCUCUAACUUCAACUUAUAGUCCAGAACCUCUUCUUCAAUGUCAUGCCCUCUUAAAAACCUCAUAAGCAUCCCAUCAAAACCAUACCUGCAAUCGUGAUAGUUGUACGCUUUUUUAUAGUAGACUUGAUCACUAUUCCAAUGUUAAUAUCAAAACCAUCUUGCAUUAGAGCAUAAACUAAGAAAACAUGACCCAGAGUGACCUCCGUCGUAUGUUUACCUGGAUGAGACAGUGAUAAACAAUCUUCAACCACACCUGAUCUUUUCUAUUCAUGUGGGCCUUGGGGAAUGUCAAAUGAUAAUACCCUCUCUGUGGUGAAUCUACCUAGAAAUUUAUCAAUCACCACACAUUAAAUGUCUAAUGUCAGCAUAUGGUUGCACAAUGUUCAGCUGUCUUAGCUGAAGAGGGUCAUCUUCUGGAGUACCCAAAAGGACAUUCAAAUACUGUACCUCAAACCUAACCACCUGCCCCAAAUAUGGACCUCAUAAUUCGAUUAUCGGGGUCCUUGAUCACAUAAAACUCCCUUAUAAGAUACAAGUUACACUUAGUUGACUCCUAAAAAAUGAAAGUCAUCCUCAACUACUAAAUUCAUUAUACAAUGUUUGGGAACUCCCUUCUCAAGGUUUCCCAGAUAAUUAUUUCGUUCGGGGCAUACUUUGACUCCAAGUACUUAUCGUACUACUUUUUACUUUGUCUACUACCCACUGAGUUCCAAAAUUUUAAGUCUAACCUCGUGAAACUGCUGGGGCCUUAGUCACACGAUUCACAGAGAAAACUUUUUCCUCCCCUUACUUGAGGGACCAAUUCCUUUGCCUUUUUGUUUUCUGCUAGACAUGAUGCAUACCAAAUACAAUGUAAAAGAACCAUGUCAAUUCAAAUCCUACAAAGCUAUCCUUCACCAUGUAAUACACCGUACUAAUCUUAGCUCGGUUUAGCUUUUAGUUGCAUGCAUAAAGGGCUUAAGGCCUGAAAUUUGCACUAAGUAUUGGGGACUUAGUUGUUUUUAAGACCUCUAAAUUUGAGAAUUUUUAUUUUGGUCUUCCCAACCCCAAGAAUUGUUUUUUUAGUUGAUUUAUGUUCAGAGAAGUAAGAAGUAUGUCUCAGAGAAGUUUUGGAUUUUUUGGACAAGGUUUGAGGCAUGUUUGGAUCACGAAACUAGUGGAUUAUCGCAAUAAGGCCACAGCGCAGAAAUAGUACUGAACUUAUAUUUAUCGCGUCACGGUGAGGGAAUUCAACGGCCGUGAUUAUACCAUAUUGCGGUGAUGUUGUUGCAUCCAGUUUUUUAUUUAAAUGGUUGAGGGGUAAUUAGGUCUUUUCCCCGUCAACCUAAAUUGUCCAUAACACAAAUUGGAACAUUAUUUAAGGUAUUAUUUACCCUUCUUAUCCAAAUUCCUCUCAAGAAAACCCUCUUCCCCCUCCCAAGAACAAGAAUUCAAUUCCUUUCUCCCCAAGAAAUUAAUAAUUCAAGUUCCCCCAGUUCAAUAACCUUCAAGAAAGAAUUAAUAUUAGUGUUUUCCUUUAAAGUUAAGAAGCUUAAGGUAUGUGGGGUGUUCAUUUAUGGAUCCCUUUCAGCCAUGGAAUCCAAAAACCCUCUUUUCAAUUAAAGAAUGGAUUUUCUAUUAUCAUGGUAUUUUAUAUUGCUUAAGAUGGGUUUAAUUCAAGUUUUCAUGGGAUUUUAAUUCAAUUCAGCCCAUGUAUGAUCCCAUGCAAUAUUUGAUUUCCUCAUGCUUUGAAUUUCAGUUUCCCAUGUCCUAUUUCAAGUGAAUUCCAUGUUAGACCCUCAAAUUAUGAUUUUUAGUCAUACAGUCAUGUUGUUUCCCCUAUUUAAAGCAUUCUUAUGUUUAAAUUCAUGAUCCCCACAUGUUUGAUGAAAUGUCUAUGCUUAUGGGUUUUGAACCAUGAUCCUUUACUACAGUUUUUAAGCUUGUUAUUGCAUUUAGUGAAGGUGGGUUAUCAAUACCCGAUAUCAAAGAGUUUUUACAUGAAUUUAGAUAAUUUCUGUAAUGAUUCAGUUAAACCACAAACUCCAUUACUUAUUCAGUUGAUGUAAUCAUGAUGAGCAUUAGAAGUUACGAAAUCAUGUUCAGUCAAGGUUAGUUCAGUUCAUUCCUAGUGUUAGUUCAGUUGGGAGUAUGAUUUAGCACCAAGCGAACUCAGGGAUGACGGCUCACCUGACAGUAAAGGAAGUGGCCCUUAGUAACAUUGCCCGAGUUACAAAACUACGUAGCCAGCGUAGGUUAGAGAUAUCUACCUGCCAGUUGAGGGUUGACAAGGUGUUUAGCUGCCAGUUGAGGCUGACACAUAUCUUAUUAGAGCAUCUACCAGUUGAGGGUGGCUCAUUAGUCCUUUGAGAAACCAGUUUUGUAGAUCCACAUAGCCAGUGUGAGUACCCGUGGCACGGUACAGACACCUUCUAACUAGGGUUACUAGUUGUACCCCAAUUAGCUCAGAUUGGGGCAUGUCGGUUAUAUAAUGCAUUCCACAGUCAGUACAGUAUUCAGUGUACUUUCAGUUCAGGUUUGCUUAACCAAAGCAUACAGAUUUACAGUUAUUCAGUUAUACAGAUUUUAGUCUUUCAGUUAACAGAUUAUUUCAAAAAUAUGUAUAUACUUCGUCUUGCAUUCUAAGAUAUUACAGUUUUCAUGAAUUCAUGCUAGGUUAUUUCAUGUUGUUCAGUUAGUCCUUAUCUCACGUGCACAGUACCCUAUGCAUUUCAGCCAGACCUUAUCCAUAUACCAGUACAUUCAAAGUACUGAUUGCAUACUCUUCUUUGUGCUAUGAUGUCUUAUAUCAUAGGUUUGGAGGCUUAGUUUUCCAACCUCAGUUAGACAACCAACAUUACUCAAUAGCCAUAGUGGUUAGUCCUAAUCCAUCGAGGACAUGAUUGCUUAUUCCAGUUAUUUUAGUAGUUCUUUAUAUUCAGUCAAUCAGAGUUAGUUGGGGGCUUGUCCCAUCAAAUCUCCAGUCAGUUAGAGGCUUUUAAGACAAACAGUUAGACAGUCAUGUUGACACCUAAUUUUUACCCUCUACGACUAAAGUUCAAUCUCGAGUUUAUAUGAUUUUUAAUAAAAAUUUAACAUUUAUUUUAUCCAAAUAAAUUCUUUCAAAUAUUUAUCUAGGUAAUUUUAGUCAUUUAAAGUAACUAUUAUAUGUUUUGUAGUUACGUAUACGAGAUCAUUAAAUUUUAUAAAAAAUUAAAUUUUAGUCAAGGGUUAUCUAGAAUAUGAAUUCAAAUAGAUAAAAUCUUGAUUUAAAAAUAAUUUAUUCUCAAAUUAAUUUAUUUAGAAAAUAUGAGUUUGAUUUUAUUGAAUCAAGAAGCUCGGGAUUGAAUUGGUUGUUAAUUCGUUUCACAUAUUGUUUCAGUUUAGUCAAUUUAUUAAAUUAGAACUUAAUUGAAAAUCAAAUUGAACAUAAUUGCAAUGCAAUUGAUCAAUUGAAUUUAAAUUAGGCUAAAAUUUAAAUAUUAUUGUCUAAAGUCUUUUUUUUGGUGGCCCUAAAUCCCCAAUUCCCAACUAGACCAAUAAAUUUCAACCAACCCUUUUCCCAAAUCAGACCCAACAGGCUGCUCCAAUCUAAAAUCCCUGACCUAGUCUCCCUAUCAGUGUAACACCAUCCUAACUAAUGGUACAAUAACAACAACAACCAACUUUUCUCCAUCUAACGCCCCAACAUCAACAAAUCAGCUGCCCACCAAACAAUAUCCCACCACCCCAGCCCAAAGAUCUGACCUGCCCACAACCCCUUCUUUCUUUCCCUUAUAUGCAAAUAACGUAACAACAGCAUACACGCCAGACAACUGACCAAGAACCAACGACAUUCAAACCAGUGCGUAUAACAAAAAUUCGCAUGCGUACAACCUCUAUUCCAGCUGUUUCAACCCCAAAAUGACUUUUAAUGGUAACAUUAAUUCUACAGUAAAAUCCCAAACCGUCUAUUUUUACCAUUUUACCCUUUUAGUACAGCCAUCCACGGCCCAAAUCAUAAAACUUUCAUAUUUAUUUAGUUUGGACUCACUAUUUCGAUCAAAGAAGUACCCCCAACGUCUCUUCACCUCUCUCACAGUAAAAAAUUCAGUUGAAGUACAAGACCAUUAAUGGUUUUUCGUCCUGAUGUGGACCUCAAUUUUGUAAGUAAUUCAAUUCAAAAUUUGAAAUUGAAUUCCAAAACCCUAACUACUUCCCCACAAUUUCCCCCUAAAAUAGAUGCUAAGAAGAAGGAGGUAAGAAGGGGAUUCUUUGGAGAAAAAUUAGGGAUUCGGGAGGAGCGUUCCUCUAAUCCCACGUAACCAAAGAAUUUAAGAAGAGGUUCCAUCAAGAAUCAAUCCUAAUGAAAGAUUGAAAUCUUGUCAAAUGAGAAUUAAAACUCGAUCAAAAAAAACAUAAAUUUUGGUGGAAUUCCAUCGCCUAAAGUUCGUUUGUCCCGGUUUCUGCCCAAAAACAGGUGAAGGCUUCACCUUUUGUAUCCUUUAUUUGUGUUUAUUUGUUAUAAAAAAAUUUGAUCACCACUAUCGUGAGGCUUAUUGAUUCAUUGAUGUGGGAAGUUAUCUGGUUGAUUUAGUAUGGCGUCGCUGUUGAAAAUUGAAAUCAAUUUGAUGAAAAUUGAUUGUGUUUUCUUGUUGCUUCUGGUGUGAUUUGAAUACAUAAAGGAUUUUAUUAUUUUUUGUUGUUCUUUCUGCGGUAGAAGCCAACCCUUAUAUAAAAUCUAUUAUUUCAAUUUGUUGAACAUACAAUACACGGAUGUUUUGUUAAACUUGUGAGUAAAAGCCUCGACCGUUUUCUUCUUGGCCUCCCGAAACAUCUAGUUGAGUGGUUUUCAAUUGGUAUUAUUUGGUUUAGUAUUUGAAUUAUUGUUGUAGUUUUACACAUGUGUGGUGUUUAGUAUUAUGGGAUAAAUUAGUAGUUUGAAUUAUUGGUGUUGUGAUUUGAAUAAUCUGUAAAAAGGAGCUUAAG